rnacentral:rRNA from 1 species
UACAGAGGUCCCAAGCGGUGUUCGGAUUCACUGGGCGUAAAGGGUGCGUAGGUGGCGAGGUAAGUCGGAUGUGAAAGCUCGGAGCUCAACUCCGAAAUGGCAUUGGAAACUACCUUGCUCGAGGGUUGGAGGGGGGACUGGAAUUCUCGGUGUAGCAGUGAAAUGCGUAGAUAUCGAGAGGAACACCAGUGGCGAAGGCGAGUCCCUGGACAACUCCUGACACUGAGGCACGAAAGCUAGGGGAGCAAACAGG